CUGAUUUUUGUUAGAAAAUGGGAUUUUCGGAUCUUGUUGUGGUCACACACGAUUUCUUGGUGAAGAAGGAUAGAAGGUUCGAGACCCCCUAUAUAUUGGGGUGAUUUCUCGGAUUUUGGGGGGUUCAGAGGAAAAAUCGGAAAAAGAGGAGAAAAGAAAAAGAGAAUAAGAACUAGGGUUUCGAUUUUGAUUCUUUUCCUCUGAACUAUAAAAGAAAAAUCAGUUUCAUAUAGUUGGCAUUUUACUUAAAGAAUCAGAAAAGAAAACAUAAAAAAAAAUUUGAAUCCCUCUUCUUCUCCUGAUUUUGAUUUUUGUUUGAAACAUGGAAUUUGUUUGAGUCUGUGCUGGAGUUUGGAGCAGCCGUCCGAGGCUUGUCCGCGGUCUUAAUUGCAAUCCAUUUGUUCGAGCAGCCGUCCGAGACAUUGGAUCUAUUAGUAUCUUCCUUUCAUCCUUGGCGAUUAUUUCUUUUACUAGGGUUUGUGUAAGAUUUGGAGUACUCUAGUGUUC
rnacentral:lncRNA from 1 species